GAGUUUGAUCUUGGCUCAGAUUGAACGCUGGCGGCGUGCUUAACACAUGCAAGUCGAGCGGUAACAGGUGUAGCAAUACAUGCUGACGAGCGGCGAACGGGUGAGUAAUGCUUCGGAAUCUGCCCUGUAGUGGGGAAUAACCAGCCGAAAGGUUGGCUAAUACCGCAUACGAACUACGGUUGAAAGCGGGGGAUCGCAAGACCUCGCGCUAUAGGAUGAGCCGAAGUCGGAUUAGCUAGUUGGUAGGGUAACGGCCUACCAAGGCGACAAUCCGUAGCUGGUCUGAGAGGACGACCAGCCACACUGGGACUGAGACACGGCCCAGACUCCUACGGGAGGCAGCAGUGGGGAAUAUUGGACAAUGGGGGCAACCCUGAUCCAGCCAUGCCGCGUGUGUGAAGAAGGCCUCGGUUGUAAGU
rnacentral:rRNA from 1 species